rnacentral:rRNA from 1 species
GUUGUCCGGAUUUAUUGGGCGUAAAGCGAGCGCAGGCGGUUCCUUAAGUCUGAUGUGAAAGCCCCCGGCUCAACCGGGGAGGGUCAUUGGAAACUGGGGAACUUGAGUGCAGAAGAGGAGAGUGGAAUUCCAUGUGUAGCGGUGAAAUGCGUAGAUAUAUGGAGGAACACCAGUGGCGAAGGCGACUCUCUGGUCUGUAACUGACGCUGAGGCUCGAAAGCGUGGGUAGCAAACAGGAUUAGAUACCCUGGUAGUCCACGCCGUAAACGAUGAGUGCUAAGUGUUGGAGGGUUUCCGCCCUUCAGUGCUGCAGUUAACGCAUUAAGCACUCCGCCUGGGGAGUACGACCGCAAGGUNNAAACUCAAAGGAAUUGACGGGGACCCGCACAAGCGGUGGAGCAUGUGGUUUAAUUCGAAGCAACGCGAAGAAUCCUUACCAAGUCUUGACAUCCUUUGACCCUCUAGAGAUAGAGCUUUCCCUUCGGGGACAAAGUGACAGGUGGUGCAUGGUUGUCGUCAGCUCGUGUCGUGAGAUGUUGGGUUAAGUCCCGCAACGAGCGCAACCCUUAUUACUAGUUGCCAGCAUUGAGUUGGGCACUCUAGUGAGACUGCCAGGUGACAAACCGGAGGAAGGUGGGGAUGACUUCAAAUCAUCAUGCCCCUUAUGACUUGGGCUACACACGUGCUACAAUGGAUGGUACAACGAGCAGCGAACUCGCGAGGGUAAGCGAAUCUCUUAAAGCCAUUCUCAGUUCGGAUUGUAGGCUGCAACUCGCCUACAUGAAGCCGGAAUCGCUAGUAAUCGCGGAUCACGCACGCCGCGGGUGAAUACCGUUCNCGGGUCUUGUACACACCGCCGUUA